CAGUAGCCGCGGUAAUACGUAGGGUGCAAGCGUUAAUCGGAAUUACUGGGCGUAAAGCGUGCGUAGGCGGUUUGUUAAGUCUGCUGUGAAAUCCCCGGGCUCAACCUGGGAAUGGCAGUGGAUACUGGCAAGCUAGAGUGUGUCAGAGGAUGGUGGAAUUCCCGGUGUAGCGGUGAAAUGCGUAGAGAUCAGGAGGAACAUCAGUGGCGAAGGCGGCCAUCUGGGACAACACUGACGCUGAGGCACGAAAGCGUGGGGAGCAAACAGGAUUAGAUACCCGUGUAGUCCCUGUCUCUUAUAA
rnacentral:rRNA from 1 species